rnacentral:rRNA from 1 species
AUUGAACGCUGGCGGCGUGCCUAAUACAUGCAAGUCGAACGCAGUGGGGACGGGUGAGUAACACGUGGGUAACCUCCCAUCAGAGGGGAUAACACUUGGCAACAUGUGCUAAACCGAAAUUGAUGGAUGGACCCGCGGUGCCUUAGCUAGUUGGUGAGGUAACGGCUCACCAAGGGCCAGAUGCAUAGGCGGCCUGGGCGGGUGAUCGGCCACACGGGGACUGAGACACGGCCCAGAGUCCUACGGUGGGCAGCAGGGGGGAAUCUUCGGAAAUGGACGCAAUUCUGACCGAGCAACGCCGCGUGAGUGAAGAAGGUUUUCGGAUCGUAAAACUCUGUUGUUAGAGGAGCGGUAGCUAACCAGAAAGCCACGGCUAACUACGUGCCAGCCGCCGCGGUAAUUC